CGCGGCCUAUCAGCUUGUUGGUGGGGUAACGGCCCACCAAGGCGACGACGGGUAGCGGGCCUGAGAGGGUGGCCCGUCACACUGGGACUGAGACACUGCCCAGACUCCUACGGGAGGCUGCAGUCGAGAAUCUUCCGCAAUGGGCGCAAGCCUGACGGAGCGACGCCGCGUGUAGGACGAAGGCCCUAGGGUUGUAAACUACUGUCACGAAUCAUGAAUGCUGCGUAGUUAAUAGCUGCGUAGUUGACGUAAGUUCGGAAGGAAGCACCGGCUAACUCUGUGCCAGCAGCCGCGGUAAUACAGAGGGUGCAAACGUUGUUCGGAAUUACUGGGCAUAAAGCGUACGUAGGCGGCGCGUCUAGUGCAUGGUGAAAGCCCACGGCUCACCCGUGGAACUGCUGUGCAUACUGGCGUGCUCGAGGACGGUAGGGGAGUGCGGAACUCUUGGUGGAGCGGUGAAAUGCGUAGAUAUCAAGAGGAACACCGAAGGCGAAGGCAGCACUCUGGUCCGUUUCUGACGCUGAGGUACGAAAGCCAGGGUAGCGAACGGGAUUAGAUACCCCGGUAGUCCUGGCCGUAAACGUUGGGCACUAGGUGUGGGGACCAUUCCACGGUUUCCGCGCCGCAGCUAACGCAUUAAGUGCCCCGCCUGGGGAGUACGG
rnacentral:rRNA from 1 species